rnacentral:lncRNA from 1 species
AUGCCAGCACGCAGGCAGAGAAUUUGUUUCUGGAAUCAAACUGCUUGGUUCCCAACCUUUUUCAACAUGAGAACAUGGCCGUGGCUGAGGGCUUCCAGGCAGACAAUUCAGCAUCUCUCAGGGCUGGGGAGUAAUUCCUGGAGGAUCUUAACACCUGCUCAGCUUACCGCGGGUGAAUUAGCCUCUGGAACUUUCUUUGUUGUUUUGUUGUGGUAGAGCCCCAAGACCAGGGCCUGCUGCAGGUCAAUAAAAUC